rnacentral:miRNA from 1 species
AACUGAAUGUCAACCACAUGGUAAAGAUUUUACACACACACACACACACACACACACACACAUACAUAUAUAUAUAUGUAUGUGUGUGUGUGUGUGUGUAUGUGUGUAUAUAUACAUGUGUAUAUAUAAUA